GUGCGUUGCGUGCGAUUGGUAAAACCUGCAAACUCAUGGCGCAACUUAUGAUCGAGUCCGCGGGCUCUUCAUCGUACGAUCGUAUUGAUAAAGCGUGUGCGUAUGUGUGCCACGAUGGUUGAAUUUCGCAACAACACAAACAAGUCGACGUAUUCCAAUGUUCGAACGUCUUACGGAACUAGCAAAGUAAUUUGAGAAAUUUCGGAACCAUUUUUCUUCAGUUUGUGUUGUACUGUCCUCAGCCAUAAAAUAGGCAUGCCCGACUUUGCAUCGAGAGCUUAACCGGGCGCGAAGCCGCUUAUCGUUGAUAGUUCUUUUUUUCGGAAACGAGACCGCAUGUGUGCAUAACCGUACACCCCAUGCCCGGGCCCAGUUCCAGGGGCCCUGACACAUACACAAAAGAUCGAAAAAUCCCAUAUCUUGUGCCCCACAGGUAAGUGUAGGUGAUUCCGGUGCGGAGGGACAACUUACCGCGGCACAGAGGCCAGUUGUGAAGCGUUGCGUCCCGCGGAUGAGAAGGUGACGUUGAGCGAUUUUCCUUAUCGGUGAUUUCACACCGUCGCAGGAAGGGACCGGGGGCCGCGGGUGCCGCGGGCGUGUGUGACCAGCGCCGUGUGUGUAUAAAUAUCGAUGGCACGUUCACAUCGACACUGAGUCACAUUUAUCUUGCGGAUCCGCGGUCUUGUCCGUGCCACGGUGGUGUGCGUUACCUAUUUGAUAUGGCCCCAGGCUUCGAACGCGAUUGAUAACGGAUCGGUACGGUUUGUUUUUUCGUACACACGGACACACACACACACUCAUUGGUAGUUGUGACCGAGGGCGGCCAUUUCGGUAUCGAUCGGAAGGGGUUGAUUUUGCCCUCCCCGUCCCGGCCCAACACGGGCCGGUGAUCCUGGAGCAUGCGGUGCGGCUGAUAACGGUUGCGUUCUGUCUCUCUUUCUAUCGUCCGCAGUGCGCCACAUCGGUGAGGGCCCGGCUAGCUAGUCUGCCUCGCUUGUUGCACACUGAAGGUGACAAGAAAAAACGGCCAUCCGUUUAUCGGUUAUAAAAGCUGUGUACACUUUAAACUGCUCCUAUUACGGUGGAUCGCUUGGUGUGGAAAGGACCGGCGGUUCGGUUCCGGUGUGACACGAUAGGAGAGUUUGUCGAUGUGGCAUCGAUGCUCCCACACAAGAAGGGGCAGUGUGAAGUGAGUGCUUGAAGUGCUUGAACGAACGCUUGUUACAGUUGCAGUGAAUGCGAUAGGAAGUUAAUAGUGAAGUGUGGCCAAAUUGUGUGCGAAAAAACGAUUGCGACGAAAACUCCUCUGCUGCUGCUCCGGCUCCUCACACGUUCACGCUACGAUCGUGGGUAUUUUAGAUCAUCGACAGACCACGGCACUUUCGUCACUGGCACUGUAAGGCCGAGCAGAUGCGGCCUCAACCCAAACCCUCACCCGUGGUUCGCAUCUGCUCCCGUCCAGUGCCCUGUCCAACCAUACUGUCAGAUCUACUUCAUACCCAUGAAUGGUGGCGUGAAAGCGACGUGACUCAUGCGAUUUGUGCAAAAAGAAGAAGAAGAAAACGGUGGCGUGAAAAGGUGUGCGGUGGCGUCAUCCAAUGUAUAUGUAUAUCACGAUAUGGAAUAAGUGGAGUAGUGGUCUCAUCGCUUAGCUUCAGAAAAGUGAGAUUCUACUUCUCCGACUUAAUUCAUAUCUAGUUGAAUCAACAGUACCGUACGCCACCCUCUCAGAAGGCAGUUCGUACCGAUUACAGCCAGCGUGCUUCCGGUUUCCGCAGUAGGAGCAGGCAACGCCCAGAAAAAUCGACAUACAACGUCCUACAUGUCGACGAGCGUGCGGCGAAGCAAAGCGCCAGAAUGUAUGCAAUACACACAACACAAUUCAACACGGUUAUUCGAUCGUGGUCGUUUGCGUUUCGUUUUUUUCCCCUGUAGCCUUCACGCUGCUACAAACUAACACAAAUUGUGAGACUUUCUUUCGCAGUGACGCAAAUUAAAAGGACAUGGAUUUUGGAAUGUUUAAAUCCAUGUGGUAAGGCUCUCGAACUCCAUUCGCACUCAUCUCAAUUGGUUUUGAUUGUAGGGUUGCACUGCAUGCCCAACAGGCGAUAAGGAAUGGAAGCUCAACUCAACGUUGUCCCGAUUUGCGUGUCAAACUAACACCUCGUUACAAAUACACAAAUACACGUGAAAGGAGACAUAAUUGAGCGCAUUUCGCGAACGUGCUAAGCGUUUUAACGAGCUGCUGGCGCAAAACCUUACCACAGGAUUAGCGAAACUUCAACCACCCCCUGAGGGGAAAGUAGUACGGAUUAGAACUGUUUGUUUUGCAGCUUAUCAUUGCACCGUUGGAAAGAGCAUGUACAGCUUGCGGUGAUAUAAUAAUGAUCGGCAAACAGUGCGCGUAUCGGCCCCGGCGCGGAAUCCUGAUUAGUAGCGUACCAUGGCCAUACCAUGCCCAAGGAUAGCAGCCACUCGUUCCAGCCCUUCCCUUCCCGUUUUUACCUGUUUGCUUCGUGUAGGAUUUGUUGGAAAGGGAGUGUCUUCUAACCUUCCAAAGAUUAAUAACUCUGUUUUUACGAUCGCCGCGCAAGGAUCACCACCGCCAACGGGGGAAAGUCGAUCAAAAAGGGUUCAGUGCCGAGUGGAAAAAGGACCUCCUCAGCAUCCUUCGGCGCCCCGAAAAAAGGAUACGCUCAGCCGAGCGCUUUCCAAUCGAUCGAUUCGGUGGGUGUGUUUCGACAAAUUAGAGAAACUGACGAUAGAAAUAAAAUUUUAAUGCCAUCCUUGAUCGUUGCGGGCCCGCAAACGGAGCAGCGGUGUUGUUUUUUUGGGAUGCGUGCUAAGGGAUUAUUGUUUUUGUUUAGCGUUAUUUACAUGCCAAGCCGCCAAAGGGGGAAAGUGGUCUUAAUAGUCGUGACAAGGUAUUCGUGGCACCAGGAAUCAAAGGAACCGGGUGGUCCCCUCGAAAGGUCGUACGAUGGCGUUGCGGGCGCCGUUUAAAUUACAAGGAACCCGGUGCCCGGUAAUGGUUGUGUGAAAUUGUUAAUGGUCGUCGGUGGUCGGGCGAUUGAAGCCAUGCUAUGAUUAGGAUAGCGCCAUUGAUCCUUUGGCUGGUUGCGCAGUAGGCCCGGGGCUAGAUUGACUUGUAAAACAAUUCUUGUCCUUAGGAUAGGAUGAUCAUUCAGCGAUCGAAUAAAAGUUAUGUUUAUUUUUAUGAUUCA